GAUGAACGCUGGCGGCGUGCCUAAUACAUGCAAGUCGAGCGAACGGACGAGAAGCUUGCUUCUCCGAUGUUAGCGGCGGACGGGUGAGUAACACGUGGAUGACCUACCUAUAAGACUGGGAUAACUUCGGGAAACCGUAGCUAAUACCGGAUAAUAUUUUGAACCGCAUGGUUCAAAAGUGAAAGACGGUCUUGCUGUCACUUAUAGAUGGAUCCGCGCUGCAUUAGCUAGUUGGUAAGGUAACGGCUUACCAAGGCAACGAUGCAUAGCCGACCUGAGAGGGUGAUCGGCCACACUGGAACUGAGACACGGUCCAGACUCCUACGGGAGGCAGCAGUAGGGAAUCUUCCGCAAUGGGCGAAAGCCUGACGGAGCAACGCCGCGUGAGUGAUGAAGGUCUUCGGAUCGUAAAACUCUGUUAUUAGGGAAGAACAUAUGUGUAAGUAACUGUGCACAUCUUGACGGUACCUAAUCAGAAAGCCACGGCUAACUACGUGCCAGCAGCCGCGGUAAUACGUAGGUGGCAAGCGUUUAUCGGAAUUAUUGGGCGUAAAGCGCGCGUAGGCGGUUUUUUAAGUCUGAUGUGAAAGCCCACGGCUCAACCGUGGAGGGUCAUUGGAAACUGGAAAACUUGAGUGCAGAAGAGGAAAGUGGAAUUCCAUGUGUAGCGGUGAAAUGCGCAGAGAUAUGGAGGAACACCAGUGGCGAAGGCGACUUUCUGGUCUGUAACUGACGCUGAUGUGCGAAAGCGUGGGGAUCAAACAGGAUUAGAUACCCUGGUAGUCCACGCCGUAAACGAUGAGUGCUAAGUGUUAGGGGGUUUCCGCCCCUUAGUGCUGCAGCUAACGCAUUAAGCACUCCGCCUGGGGAGUACGACCGCAAGGUUGAAACUCAAAGGAAUUGACGGGGACCCGCACAAGCGGUGGAGCAUGUGGUUUAAUUCGAAGCAACGCGAAGAACCUUACCAAAUCUUGACAUCCUUUGACAACUCUAGAGAUAGAGCCUUCCCCUUCGGGGGACAAAGUGACAGGUGGUGCAUGGUUGUCGUCAGCUCGUGUCGUGAGAUGUUGGGUUAAGUCCCGCAACGAGCGCAACCCUUAAGCUUAGUUGCCAUCAUUAAGUUGGGCACUCUAAGUUGACUGCCGGUGACAAACCGGAGGAAGGUGGGGAUGACGUCAAAUCAUCAUGCCCCUUAUGAUUUGGGCUACACACGUGCUACAAUGGACAAUACAAAGGGCAGCGAAACCGCGAGGUCAAGCAAAUCCCAUAAAGUUGUUCUCAGUUCGGAUUGUAGUCUGCAACUCGACUACAUGAAGCUGGAAUCGCUAGUAAUCGUAGAUCAGCAUGCUACGGUGAAUACGUUCCCGGGUCU
rnacentral:rRNA from 1 species